rnacentral:lncRNA from 1 species
GGACCAUGACCCUUAACCUCAAGAUUCUGUGACUUGUCAGGGUGGAAAAAAAUGUAUGUAAAUAAGUAUAGAUGUGAUAAGCUUUAAUAAAGAGCAGGGGAAUUUAGAGAAACUGUACCAAGCAUUAAAUGUAUUAUUUUUAGUAACCAGAAAUUCCUUCUAUUGAUGUAAUUAAGAUUUUAUAGUGUUUGAGAGGCCAAGGCAGGAGGACCACUUGAAGCCAGGAGUUCAAGACCAGCCUGGGAAACAUAGCAAGACCCUGUCUCUCCAAAAAGAAACUAAAAAAUUAGCCAGUUGUGGUGGUGCACACCUGUAGUCCCAAGCUGCUAGAGAGGCUGAAGCGGGAGAAUCACUUGAGCCUAGGAGUUCAAGGCUGCAGUGAGCUAUGCUUGCACCACUGCACUCCAGCCUGGGUGACAGAGUGAGACACUGUUUCAAAUAGAAAAAAAACUGCAUAUAGUACUUUACUCUCAGAUAUGAGUGUUUCUGUUGACCAGGAAUUUUACCAUUCCUGGUUCUCUGAUGCGGAGGUGGCCUUGUGAAAGGACACAGUUUCUGCUGAGCUGAACACGCUUUAGUGUAAUCUGAUGAAGAACUUCUAUGCUGGUUGCGGUAUUGGUGGAAAGUGUUUUAUUUUGCAGAAAAAGCACAAAUUCCACAGAGGGCAACAGUUAUCCAUUCACUCCAUAGCUAUCUAUUGCUGCAUGACAGACUACCCCCUAAAACUUAGUGGCCCAUGCCACUAUUUUAUUUUGCAUGAUUCUGUGAGCCAGGAAUUUGGGCAAGAUUCAGCAGAACAGCUCUACUCCCUGUGGCACUGGCUGGGGUCAUGGACGGUUGUGUGCCACUGGUGGGUCAGUUGAGAGGGGGGCCCAGCCGGCACAGGGACAGUGAGGCUGGACCAUCCAAGGGGCUUCUUUCAGGUUUCUGGUGCCUCAGCUUGGAUGGCUGAAACAGCUGGCAGCUGGCCAGGGCUCUCCAGCAGGGUGGCCAGACCUCUAUGAGGUGGCAAGGGCUCUGAAAGUGAAUGCUCCACAAGGAUGGGCCCAGUGUGUCCCCCUUGCAUCAUGCUGGCUCAUGGAUCACUGGCCAAGGCCAGUUUCGUGGCCACACCCAGAGUCCAUGUGGAGGGGCCUGCACAGGACAUGAAGCCAGGAGGUAUAGUUCACAGGGGAACACAAAAGUAACGUUCACUGCAGGGACAGAGCAGAUCACUGAAGGGAAUGCCACUGGGAAUCGAGCCCCAUGUCCUGGCCCCUGAGCAGAGUUCUGUCCCCAAGACCAUUACUCCUCAUGGAACUUUUCACCUCCCUCACACUUACGGCAAUGCUAACAGUCACUACACACGGUUCUGAGAACCUUCAAAUUGAAGCCCUCAUGAUGUUUCCUAAGAAGUUGCAGUUGUCCAAAUCCACAAACCCAGAUUUUAGUUGGCAAGUCUGAGAGGUUCUGGGUAACUGUUUUGCUGCACAAACGUGGGUAUUCCUGAAAGUUUAAAGAUUCAUCUUCAACAUGCUAGGGAAAGCCACCAUGAUAGCUAGUCUAAUAAUGCCCAGACCAUCCCCUCAUUGAUGAAUGGAAGGCUCACAUUUUAAGAUGAAUAUGGGCCAGGGAGGUUUCACCUUUCUUGGCUGAGGUUGAUGCCAAAGUGAUAAACCUUGGUGCUUCCCGCCUCCCUGUUCCCUGGGGAUGGGCCAGAAUCAGAUGCCAUCAGGGACCCUGCAGGCAAUUCUGAGAAUUCCUUUUAAGAAGACACCUGCAGGAAGGGUGAACCGCUUUCUAGCCCUUCUGCAGCCAGCCACUCCCCCUGCCUUUUGAUGACACAGGUUCUGCAUAAGGUGAGAGGGAGGACAGGGUGACAUCCAUUUCUUGUAAAAAUGCCUCAAUGAGAAAAGGGCCACAUGCAUUUCUUGUAAAAAUGCAUCAGUGAGAAAAACAACAGCAGCAGCAACAACAGCAAAUAUUUACUGAAUCUCCUAGUAUGAUCCAAGCCCCCAAAUCAAGAAAAUGUGAAUGCUGAUGUAAAAAAGGAAGGUAUUUGUUCAAACUGCCUGGCCAGUGUUUUUGAAGAAAACAGAGAUCUCCAGAGACCCCUUUUUUGGUCCUAAGUAGCAAGCAAACAAGUUCAUUAAAUGUGUACUGUUUAUUUGUGAUGUCUCCAAGCAGAGUAGUUGGCUCUUGUUAUAUAUCUGGGAGAAUAAUCAAUGAUUUAUGCUUCUGACAGUCUUAUCAUAGCCAUUUACAUAAUGGUCAUGUGUAUUUGUGACUUUAAUACCCUCUGCAUAUAGCCUUAAUUUUUAAAUGGAUUACACUGUUUUGCUGUUGUGACUUUGCUUGUUUAAUCAUAGCUAAGACUUUUCUGAAGUCAAAUACUUUUUCCAUUAUCACAGUGAGGCGUUGGCAAAAAAGUGGGGGCUUGCUGGUUACACUUGCUGAAAAUAAAUCUUGCGUUUAUUUGGACUCUCAAGAUUGGAGCUCUGAAUUCACAUAGUCCAGUGUUUAUGCACAGAGCACCACUGGCAUUGCCAUUGAUUACGACUGGCAUGACCACUGCCAGAGGUUUAGCAGCCCUGGCACACAUCCACCAAAUGCCAUUUCAAUCACUCAGAAAUUUCUACAACAACAGAAGGCCCCCCACAUGUUGGGAUAGUGGGCUGCCCUUGCUUGAGCACAGCUGAUCGAUCCAACCACUGGUCAGCGGUUGCAUCUCCUCUUCAACACUCCCCUAAAGGGACAGAUCAGCCGGGCUCUGCUCCAGCAUCCCCAGCGAUGAAGAAGUCACCACCUCCUGAAGCCACAUUGGCCUGUCCUCAUUAUUAAC